UAGCGAAGGGGGCUAGCGUUGCUCGGAAUCACUAGGGCGUAAAGCGCACGUAGGCGGAUUGUUAAGUCGGGGGUGAAAUCCUGGAGCUCAACUCCAGAACUGCCUUCGAUACUGACGAUCUCGAGUCCGGGGAGAGGUGAGUGGAACUCCGAGUGUAGAGGUGAAAUUCGUAGAUAUUCGGAAGAACACCAGUGGCGAAGGCGGCUCACUGGCCCGGUACUGACGCUGAGGUGACGAAAGCGUGGGGAGCAAACAGG
rnacentral:rRNA from 1 species